rnacentral:lncRNA from 1 species
GACUUGUGAGAAGUGAAAACACAGUCUGAGAUCCACGUCUCCUCCAUCAAGCCGCUGCCUCCUUCCUUCGUAUUGCUGCCGCACGCCUCCCUCAACACCACCAACACUCUCCUCGAUCUCACCUUCUUCCGAUCUCUCCCUAAACUCUCUCAGGCAACAAAAUAGUACACCGCCGGCGACCAAACCCUCCAUGUUCCCUUAGCUCCGGUUUCUGUUUUUCCGGCAACCGGCGUUAGACAUCCUAACCAUUUCCGACUGUUUAAGGUCACCGCGGUCUCGAUCUACCAUUGCAUAUGCUUUUCUCAACCCAUUUGUUGUGGCUAGGGUUUCAAGCAGCGAUGGAGCAGUUGUACUGUUAGCACGGUGGUUUCAAGUGUGUUUUGGCAUUUGUAGUGGAUUCCGGCAGGACCGUCAAGAGAUCCUCGGAUAUGUGUUAGUCAGUGGCCGGCAUGAUCUCUUAUUCUGGUCGUCAACAACUCAAUGCCAACUAAGGACAUCAUUGUAACUUUAUAAGAAAGGGCAAUAUUGUAAUUUUGGUCGGUCACCGACCUUUCAUUUUAAGAUUAUAUAAAUAUUUUAGAAGUUGAAUUAUUU